CUUCCCCUGGUCACAUGACCCCAGGCCUUCCUAGUGCUGCAUUCAUCCCUACAAUGAUUGGUCCAGGAACAGAAAGUCAGCCUGAGGUCCUUCCUCAGAGCUUCUGUUUGAAGGUGAAGAAGACACUUUGCCUUUGGGGUCAUGGAGUAGAAGGAUGGAUUGCCUAUGCCCCUUUCCCACCAUGUGGAGAGAGCCAACCACCGCUGCAGAGAAGUUGGCCCACAGAUAGAGAAGAAAAAGCUGCAGACACCCUACGGCCAUGUCCUAGGUGCUGGGGACACAGCAGUGAACAAACGCUUGUCCUCGAUGAGCUUCCAUUCCCACGAGAAACGAGUCAACAAGAGCAGCAAAGCACACGAUCAUUGGCUACACAGACACACACCAGCAGAUCGAGGCGCCAGGACCUCCCUGUGGUCCACUUAGCCGUUUUCCCCAGAGGAUCCGUGUUUCUGGAAUUCAGGGCCAGCCCUGGUGGGAGGAGGCGUCAGAGCUGAUCAGGUUAAGUCGGAGAUUAUCUGGAGAGGGGAGGGUACUUUGGCUUUAUACUGGCCUCAAA